UUAAACAUGCAAGUCGAGCGGUAACAGGAGAAGCUUGCUUCUCGCUGACGAGCGGCGGACGGGUGAGUAAUACUUAGGAAUCUACCUAGUAGUGGGGGAUAGCACGGGGAAACUCGUAUUAAUACCGCAUACGACCUACGGGAGAAAGGGGGCAGUUUACUGCUCUCGCUAUUAGAUGAGCCUAAGUCGGAUUAGCUAGAUGGUGGGGUAAAGGCCUACCAUGGCGACGAUCUGUAGCUGGUCUGAGAGGAUGAUCAGCCACACCGGGACUGAGACACGGCCCGGACUCCUACGGGAGGCAGCAGUGGGGAAUAUUGGACAAUGGGGGAAACCCUGAUCCAGCCAUGCCGCGUGUGUGAAGAAGGCCUUUUGGUUGUAAAGCACUUUAAGCAGUGAAGAAGACUCCAUGGUUAAUACCCAUGGACGAUGACAUUAGCUGCAGAAUAAGCACCGGCUAACUCUGUGCCAGCAGCCGCGGUAAUACAGAGGGUGCAAGCGUUAAUCGGAAUUACUGGGCGUAAAGGGAGCGUAGGUGGCUCUAUAAGUCAGAUGUGAAAUCCCCGGGCUUAACCUGGGAACUGCAUCUGAAACUGUAGAGCUAGAGUAUGUGAGAGGAAGGUAGAAUUCCAGGUGUAGCGGUGAAAUGCGUAGAGAUCUGGAGGAAUACCGAUGGCGAAGGCAGCCUUCUGGCAUAAUACUGACACUGAGGCUCGAAAGCGUGGGUAGCAAACAGGAUUAGAUACCCUGGUAGUCCACGCCGUAAACGAUGUCUACUAGUCGUUGGGUCCCUUGAGGACUUAGUGACGCAGCUAACGCAAUAAGUAGACCGCCUGGGGAGUACGGCCGCAAGGUUAAAACUCAAAUGAAUUGACGGGGGCCUGCACAAGCGGUGGAGCAUGU
rnacentral:rRNA from 1 species